AAGAGAUAAAAGAGACUUGAAAGAAACUGCAGGAGUUGAAUUUAUAAAAGAUUUCAUUCACUUCAACAACUCUAUAACAACUGUUUUCUAUUUUCCUUUCUCUUUUUAUUCCCUUUUUUUCUUUUUCAGAAGGAGUAUGUACUUACAUCCUUCUAUUUUUUUCAUUCAUUUUUUUUCUUUUAUAUUUUCUUUUUAUAUUUUUCUUUUCAUUUUCUGUCAACUUCUGAAAUAUUAAAAACAUAAUUAUUCAACCUCAUACAACUCUAAACAAGACUCUUUUAACCCUUUG
rnacentral:lncRNA from 1 species